UCAUAGGCUGGCAGAACAAAAAAU
rnacentral:piRNA from 1 species